GACGGAGGAUGCAAGCGUUAUCCGGAAUUCUUGGGCGUAAAGCGUCCGCAGGUGGACAUACAAGUCUGCUGUCAAAGUGCAGAGCUUAACUCUGUAAAGGCGGUGGAAACUGUAGGUCUUGAGUAUGGUAGGGGUAGAGGGAAUUCCCGGUGUAGCGGUGAAAUGCGUAGAUAUCGGGAAGAACACCAGUGGCGAAAGCGCUCUACUGGGCCAUAACUGACACUGAGGGACGAAAGCUAGGGGAGCGAAAGGG
rnacentral:rRNA from 1 species